CACACUAUCAUUACGUGAAUACAUAGCGUAAUGAAGCGAACCGGGGGAACUGAAACAUCUAAGUACCCCGAGGAAAAGAAAUCAACCGAGAUUCCCCCAGUAGCGGCGAGCGAACGGGGAGCAGCCCAGAGUCUGAAUCAGCAUGUGUGUUAGUGGAAGCGUCUGGAAAGUCGCACGAUACAGGGUGAAAGUCCCGUACACAAAAGUGCAUGUGUUGUGAACUCGAAGAGUAGGGCGGGACACGUGGUAUCCUGUCUGAAUAUGGGGGGACCAUCCUCCAAGGCUAAAUACUCCUGACUGACCGAUAGUGAACCAGUACCGUGAGGGAAAGGCGAAAAGAACCCCGGCGAGGGGAGUGAAAAAGAACCUGAAACCGUGUACGUACAAGCAGUGGGAGCACCCUUUGGGGUGUGACUGCGUACCUUUUGUAUAAUGGGUCAGCGACUUAUAUUCUGUAGCAAGGUUAACCGAAUAGGGGAGCCGAAGGGAAACCGAGUCUUAACUGGGCGUUAAGUUGCAGGGUAUAGACCCGAAACCCGGUGAUCUAGCCAUGGGCAGGUUGAAGGUUGGGUAACACUAACUGGAGGACCGAACCGACUAAUGUUGAAAAAUUAGCGGAUGACUUGUGGCUGGGGGUGAAAGGCCAAUCAAACCGGGAGAUAGCUGGUUCUCCCCGAAAGCUAUUUAGGUAGCGCCUCGUGAA
rnacentral:rRNA from 2 species